rnacentral:misc_RNA from 1 species
GUGAUACGCCAUUUGCAAUAAAGUUUUGAUUUUUGUCGGUCUUUUGAGAAGCGAUGACAUCCUGUAACUCAAAAGAUGUGAUGUAAAAGUUACCGCAAAGCAGAACUUUGAACAGAAUGUCAUUUCCUGUGGUCAGUGCCGAAACAGCCAUUGGAAUUUUAGGUGGAAGAUGCAGAGAAGGGGCGGACUGUUCGGUCAGUGUCUAUGGGAAGGUGACAUGUGUGAGUGAAGUGGUUAGAAUUAAAGAUAACCAUCUUUUCAUGGUCAAGUUUAUUCCAAAUGCUGAUGUUAUUAUUAAGAGAAAAGAAUUUCUGCAUUGGCAGCUUGAACUGACACCUUACAAGGAGUAUAUAUUAACAGACCUGAGACCUACAACCCUUCAAAAGGGCAGUAGUAAACAACAGAGAGUGUUUACAGUGACAAGUAGUAGUAAGCUGCUUCUGCCAGAUGAUGUUAACAUGAGGUUUAUGACAGAAUCUGAAAUGUUGAAACAGUAUGGCUUACAAGGUGCUGUAGAACAAGUAUCCAGUGUUCACAUACAGGACCCAGUAAUUGAUAGUUUAUUCUCCUACCAGGGAAAGGUGACAGCAGUUUUGGAUCAGGGCUGGGUGUGUUUGAACUUGAGGCACUGUAAGGUUGUUUGUUGGUCCAGUGCCUGCUGUACACAAGUUCUCCAUGCUGAACGUGGGGAUGACAGUUCUUGUACAAAAUGCACACUACAUCACUUCUAAACAGUAUCCCAGAGUUAGUGUGUAUUGCUGUAUGCUGACCAAAGUACAGUGUAUAGAUGAAAUUGUUCAGCAGGUUAUUCCAGUGAAGUUAAGCCAGGUAUUACAGAAGUUGUUGUAUUUAACUGGCCAAUCACAGAAUGAGCUAGAUUACAUGUUUACGCUGAGACAGGUUCUCAGGAGGCAGUUCCUGGAUAUCCUCAGUGAAAGGUGUACAGAGAGAAUAUUUUCAGUAGUGAUUGGACAUGCAAACUUUACUGCUGGAAACAGGAAAACUUCACAGAGGAUGCUCUUUG